GGGUGGAUGCGGUGCAUAGCUUCCACAGGCUUGAGGUUCAGACGGUGAGAGCUUCGAACAACUUGGUUGGAGCUCCAGAUACCUAGGGACAUCAGGUGAGCAAAAUACCAAGGGUUGAAGACUGCGGUGGAAGAGCAAUUUCAGGGCAUUGGGUCGACUCAGUCUGGAAAUGAAUCAACCAAGUCAUAGGAUAUGCUAGAGAGAGAAGUAUUGGCAUUUUGGCAUGGCAUGAAAAAUGGGUCGACUCAGUGCUAGACUAAGCCGACUCAGUCCAGGUGAGUCGACUCAGUCCCAGCUGAGUCAACUAACUGGGAAUAGAAUAAAAAGUUCAUGGUUCGGGAUUUCUGCAGGUUAC
rnacentral:lncRNA from 1 species